rnacentral:rRNA from 1 species
UCGCCCGCCGCGCGCGGCGGGCGGGGCGGGGGCACGGGGGGCCUACGGGAGGCAGCAGUAGGGAAUAUUGGUUAAUGGGCGAAAGCCUGAACCAGCAACGCCGCGUGUGCGAUGACGGCCUUCGGGUUGUAAAGCACUUUUUGAGGGGAUGAGGAAGGACAGUACCCUCGGAAUAAGUCUCGGCUAACUACGUGCCAGCAGCCGCGGUAAUA